CCAAAUAUUAGGCGGGUUUACGCCUUUUCUCUCUAAUUCCACCUCCAGGCUCCAGCCGAGCAGUAGAUUUCUUCUUCUACAUGCUGAGUUCUUCUUUUGGUUAUCCGGCACUGCCACCACCACAAUUACCACCAGAAUCUAUACCUUCUUCUAUUUCUCCUUUUUCUUUUCCUUUUCAAUUGGUCAUGAGGGGAUUUGCUAAAUCUUUUGUAUGGUUCGCAGAAUCAAGAGGAAAAUAUUGUAGUUCUUCGAAGAGGAAAUUUGGGAAGCUAAGUUUAUAACAUUGAAGAGUUUGGAAUUGAACUUUCAAUCUGACAUUAUUGGUUGCUGGGAAGGUCUUUCUGUAUCUAGCAAUCAGUUGCAGGUUUGUGGUAGUGAAGAUACCAGAAGUAUUGACACAUCUUGGAAGUUUUUUUUUUAUGGUUAUUGAUGUUUGAUAGACAAAGGCAGUAAAAAUAUGGAAGAUGAUCUGGAUAAUCGCUACAACUUGAAUUGGGAUGCUAAAUGCAAUGGCCAAGGCCAUCAGCGGGUUGUGUUCAUUUAUCCAUCUUGAAGCUAGCACUCUACGGAGCAAGCACUCUGCUGUCUUGGUGGUACUAAUUCAAUCUUCACAGGAGGCAUGGGAACACUGGUGCCUAAUGUCCUCUACGUGGGGACUAUAGUUGGUUGUGGUUCUAAAAUUGGCUUUUCAGGGCACACCUAUCUUUUAGUAUUCUCGUGAAGGAAAUUGAAGGUACACCUCUUCUGGAUGAAGAUUCCCUAAAAGCUCACAGUGGAUCAACUGUUGCUGGAGUUGAUGUUACUCCUCCUCCAUCUUCUGCAACUGUACUUUCAACUGGAAAUGGCAAUUCAAUUAUGCAAGGGGCUUUAAUUGAGGAUUUAACGGGGACCCUGAUACGGCGGCCACUAACAUCCGGAUCGAGUUUGACUUCGACGGUUGGGAAUGAUAGGCUACGUUACGGGGUGGGUUCUUGGUCAACAGAAAUAGGGUGGGUCACGCUCGGGACCGUUCUGUUUUUCUUGAGAGUCAUUAAACGGACAGGAUUUAACGGGGACCCUGAUACGGCGGCCACUAACAUCCGGAUCGAGUUUGACUUCGACGGUUGGGAAUGAUAGGCUACGUUACGGGGUGGGUUCUUGGUCAACAGAAAUAGGACUGAAGGAAUCUGUUUGAUUGGUUAACAACCUGGGGACAAAUGUCAUUGAUUUGGGGUUGUAGGCACGUUAUCAAACAUGAAGGUGAUUGCCGGAACAUCCAAACAAAUCCCUCGGGUCUAAUAGACUAUGGUUUAAGUGCUAUUCCUGUUGAUAAUUUUGUUCUUGAUCUCAGUGACUAUAAUUGUGAAACCGAGGAAGGACUCAGAAGAUUCUGAAGGGCCAUCGAAGACAGUUCUACAUAAAGUUCUUCAAAGAGAAAGGCUGCUACAAGGAGAAUUGUUGCAGGAGAGCAGGGAUGCAAUAACUGCCAAACACGCAUUCCUCCUGUUUACAUCAUAUCCACGAAGUCGUGCUCCCAAGUUGGGGAAGCACCUGCAAAUUGGGAGGAAGUCCUUGAAGAUGCACCAGUAGAAGCUAUGGGAUGACAUAAAGCUGGGAGUCUUCAUCCACCAUAGACGGUGAUUUAUUAUGGUAGCUUGAAAGUGAUUCAAGGGGUUUCUUUUUGAAGCUCCAAACUUUAUAAAGGUGGAGCGGUCACUAAAGAAAAACGACAAUUAAGGUGAAAGAGAAUGUAGAAAAUUCUCAAGACCCUCGAAAGUUGACGGUCCUUUAAGAUACAUAACUCCUAUACGAGAUAUGCCACAUUCUGUUACUAAAGAUGAUAAGAAUACACAAAGACCAUAAAGGAUGAGGAUGAAUGAUGAGUACAACUAAUCGCAGAGUUUGCUAUAAAGGAUGAGGAUGAAUGAUGAGUACAACUAAUCGCAGAGUUUGCCAUAACUUUCUUCUUCUGUAACUCCAAGGCUUCUAUAUGUCCGUGUCAGUCCAAUCCAUCCUUUUUUCCAGUCUUUUGUUUUAAUUUUGGAAUAGAGUCCAUGAUUUUUCCCUCUUCGGGGAAAAAGUAAUGCAGUUAGUCUGGGAUCUAAUUAUCUAUUAAACCUAAACCAUAAAAAAUUAUAUUCUCAGACGUGGUGAACAGUUCACGUUAAAGAUGAAAGUGAUGGUCAGUCGUUUCUUAUCUAUCAAAUUUGUUCCUGUGAGAUUUUGCAGCAACAUUUGUGGUUGCCUGUGUUGAAUAUGACCUCGGGAUAACGAGCAAGGUGAUAUGCAUGAUAGUCCUAGGAUAAGAAGGGAAGAUAGCUUUUCUAGAAUUAAAACUCCAGUGCAUCGCAGAAGUAGAUCGAGUCCUGAUUAUGAAUGGGCGAAACAAUCAAGAGGUGUUUUCCAGUGGUAAAAGAUUAGAUUGAGUUCUGAUUGUGGAUGGAACUCUACAAGGUCAUCGCCUAAUAAUAUAAAUUUUAUCCAGGGUAAGAAAGAUAAACAUAGUGGCAUAAAUACUUAGCAUCUUCCGUAGUUUAUAUGGAGUGUAUGUAUUCCUUGAAGGUAUUUAUGUGCAAUGGACCAAUGGUUAAUUUCUGACCUAUGUUGUUUUGUCUAAAGAGGAAGUGAUUUUCUAUGCCUACAAAGAUAAAAUUGGGUUCUUAUUAGGAAUUUAUGCAAGUUGUUAAUUUUAUUAGGAAUUUGUUUCGGAGAUUUUCAAUAUCAAACUAUUAUACGUUGUUUUACAAUCUGAUCUGAGACAGGAAUUUUCUUAGUGUGAGUGCCCAAAUUCUUUGUUUUUAUUAAGAGUUUUACACUAUCAUCUGCUUGCAAUACUUGGGUUUAUCAGUUGAUCAGUAAUUACCCAUGGUUUUGAUGAUAGGGGUUUUAUGUUCGGUAACUGCGUCUGUUUACUUGGUACAGGGAAGCAUAUCCACAUUAAAGGGGCAGAUAGGGAGCACAGAUGUUGCACUUUUGUAUGCUAUGGAACAUGGUGUCCUGCAGGGCUAUGCAAGUUUUGGGAAAUGUUGGUUCCAUGUAACCAUCUGGAUGCAAUUAAUUUAUUCUAUCCCUUGCAUGGCUUUGCCGGAUUCGAUAUCGUUGGAACCCUGAGUCGGUUUAGGGUAUGCUGGUGAUGCUGUAUCGGGGAUGUUGUUGUGUGAAGGUGCGUCUGUAUUGGAUUUAUAUGGUGUUGCAUAUCCUGUAGCAUUAUGCAACAUAUGUGGUUCCUCCAAGGCUAAGUAGAAAGAAAUAGAAUGGGUGAUCUAAGGAUGGUACGCAAGAAACCAUGUGAUUCAUCCAAAGUCUAAAUCUUUCUCCGCCAGACAGGUUGGUUUUUCUUUUCAUUGGUUUUUGCAUUUUUUCUUCAUUAACGGAGUUCUUGAAUGGCUGGCUUAUUUUUGUUGAUCAUGCGAGACCAAGAGCGCCUGGACUGCGACCUUAUACAGAGAGAUAAGGGAAUGGGUGCAAAAAGUCAUCAAGAGUUCAAGACUGUACCACUUCAUUUGAUCUUAAGGUUCCACAAGAGUAAAGGUCAAGUGAAGUGGUAUCUUUGGUAAACCUAGAGUUGGAGCGACAGUUGAAACAGGUUAACUACGUCUAGCAUUUGCAUUUCCCAACAGGGAAUAAGAUGGUAGACGUAUUUGUCUUUGGUCUGGAUACUCCGUCAACUCUCUUAUCAAUCUGUUAUAAUUACAUAUCUGGAACUUAGAUGGAUGUUACAGUGCUCUUAGUUGGCGAAACCAUUUGAUGGAAAUGUAAUAAAUGAAAGAUGAUAUUAUUCACCCUUCUGUGGUACUUGCUAAAGUAGUCAUCAAUGCAGACAUGUUUUGAAGACGAUUUUAUAGUACUUGUGAUAAUCUCAUGAGGUGCAUGAAACAUUGAUUAAGGAUGCGAACCAGAUCCUAUAGCUGGACCUUAUGGGCAUCCCUCACUUUUAAAUGAACCCCUGAUUUAUGCGCACGAGUAAGAAUCUGUGGCGCAAUGGUGGCGCGUCUGACUCCAUGUCAGAAGGUUGCGUGUUCGAAUCACGUCAGGUCACUGUCCCACUUUAAUCAUCUUGGAACACAUUGAAUAAGAUGGCAUAAUUGCAAGAACAUAAAAAUCUUCAAUUGGGGAUGGGUUUGUAUUGUUUCCUAGGAAUCACAUGGAAAUGAACUGUUUCAUACUGGGUAAUCUUACUGAGUAAACUGAUUGUAAAUCACAUGGAAAUGAACUGUUUCCUUAGGAUUAAUCGUUUCCUAUGUACUAAACCAAACUAAUCUAUAGUUUAACGAAGAAAUUAAAUAAAGUGAUUGCUAUUUUUCUUCAAAAUAUAAUUUUGCUGUGCCUAAACAUAA